rnacentral:rRNA from 1 species
GACGAACGCUGGCGGCGUGCUUAACACAUGCAAGUCGAACGGAAAGGCCCUGCUUUUGUGGGGUGCUCGAGUGGCGAACGGGUGAGUAACACGUGAGUAACCUGCCCUUGACUUUGGGAUAACUUCAGGAAACUGGGGCUAAUACCGGAUAGGAGCGCCUGCUGCAUGGUGGGGGUUGGAAAGUUUCGGCGGUUGGGGAUGGACUCGCGGCUUAUCAGCUUGUUGGUGGGGUAGUGGCUUACCAAGGCUUUGACGGGUAGCCGGCCUGAGAGGGUGACCGGCCACAUUGGGACUGAGAUACGGCCCAGACUCCUACGGGAGGUAGCAGUGGGGAAUAUUGCACAAUGGGCGGAAGCCUGAUGCAGCAACGCCGCGUGCGGGAUGACGGCCUUCGGGUUGUAAACCGCUUUCGCCUGUGACGAAGCGUGAGUGACGGUAAUGGGUAAAGAAGCACCGGCUAACUACGUG